UUUUUUUUUAUUUUUUAUUGUCUUUUGCCUUUUCUAGGGCUGCUUCCCAUGGCAUAUGGAGAUUCCCAGGCUAGGGGUUGAAAUGGAGCUGUAGCCCCCGGCCUAUGCCAGAGCCACAGCAACACGGGAUCCGAGCUGCGUCUGCAACCUACACCACAGCUCAUGACAACGCCAGAUCCUUAACCCACUGAGCAAGAGAAAAUAUCUAGUACAGAUACCAACCUUCCUGUAAGAAGCCUCAGGCUAGUAAAAAGAAAAAGAAAAAAAAGUCCAACACAUAAUUAAAUACAGUUGAUCCUCCUUAUUUGCAGGUUCUAUACAUGUAAUUUCCCCUACUCGCUAAAAUUUAUUUAUAAUCCCCAAAUCAAUUCUUGCAGCAAUUUCACAGUCAUUCAUGACAUGCCCAUGCCCAGAGCAGUGAAGUAUUUGCAUCAUCCUACUUGCACAUUCCCACCUGAGGUGGAACAAGGCGAGACCCUGCCUUCUUGUUUCAGCUCAUUCUAUAAUCAAGUAUCUAUUCUGACAUCUAUUUUGUACCAAGUUUUUUGCCCUCGGUCCUUUUUAUUGGUCAUCUUCUUGUUUAAAAUGGCCCUCAAACACAGAGCUGAGGUGCUCUGUAAGUGCAAGAAGGUUGUGACGCAUCUUACAAGGAAAACGUGUGUGUUAGAUGAAUGUCUUCAGCUUGAGUUCUAGGGCUAGGGACUGUGAGUUUGAUGUGAACGAAUCUACAAUACACACAAACAAGAUGUUUUUGAACGGAAACGUGCAUGAAACAAAGUUAGUGUAGGUGAGACAACUUUAUAAGACAUAACCACGGAAUGAGACUCAGCUGUGAUUGCAGAGAGCUGUUGCAGGGUCAUCGGGUGGAGCAGGGGUCACAACCCAGUGGGAGCACAAAGAAGAGUGAAAACACCUAAGGAAUCCAGAAGGGCUUCACAGAGGAAGUGAUGUUUGAGCUAUGUCUUCAAGGGUAAAAUGUGAGUUCAGUUCCUAAGGGAGGGGGAUCUGGAAGAACUUUUCAGGCAGCAAACUCAGCAUGCAAAAUCACAUCUUAUUCCAGCUUCUUCCCUUGCACUAUUUUUAUGUUAGGGCUGGGGACCUUGGUACCCACAGCCAGCAGGUACUGGAGAAUCAGUUAGAGGAAUUGAGUGGAUUCUGAUACUUCAUCCUCCAGGUUCACAUCUACCCACACCUGUAUCCACCCAUCUAGGGCUACUAAGAGUCCCUGAUCCUUUUUCAUUCUCUCAGACUCAUUUUGAGUACAAAUGUCUAUGAGCUGAGACAAGCUAUAGAAAGAUUUGUUUGCUUUCCUCUUGUGUAUAUCUCAAAGCACUUUCCCAUCAGAGAUGAUGGUUGAUCUCUGCAGCAGCUUCAAGGCAGAAGGGUGGGUGAAGGGGUCUCACGUGCCAGAAAGGGGAAGUGAUAACACAGCGUGCCUAAGGUGGAAGAGCUACUCAACACCAGUGAGAUUAGAGCUUAGAUCUUAUUCCAAGUCCUGCAUUCUUCCCAGAGGUCACACCAAAGUUCAAACCAUGGUAAUAAUAAUAAAAACAAUAAAAGCUCUUAUUCUUGAGCAUAUAUUAUGGCUCUGCUUAGCGUGUGACAUUGACUGGUUCGUUUAGUCUUCCAAGAACCCAAAAGAUAGGAAAAAUUAUGAUCUUCUCAAUUUUAUAGAUGAGCAGUUCAGGGCUUGGUAAAUUAGAAAAACCAUUCAUGGCCCCUCAACUAGGAAGUGGCAGAAUGGUAGCUCGAAGCUAGACCUGUCUGUUCCCAAAUGUGAUACUCCCAAACAUUCUGCGGGGUUGACUAUAGGGCCACAAGGCCAGCCCCUGAGAAUACUGCAGCGCCAACCUCACUAUACCUUGGCUACGUUGUUGCAUUCCAAAUCUGGCUUGGAGUAUGCUCAAACUGUCUUUAUCAGUUUUUAUUCAAAAUUACUGUAUGUAGCAUUUAUUUAAGUAAAGAUGAAAGGUUAUUUGCUGUCAAGUUAUAUGUAAAAUAUCUGACCUUCAAGGGAGGCCAGUUCUCUAGAAGUUAUGGGAAUAAAGCAAAGAGGGAGUUCCCAUCAUGGCUCAGUGGUAACGAACCUGACUGAUAUCCAGGAAGACAAGGGUUUGAUCCCUGGCCUUG
rnacentral:lncRNA from 1 species